UACGUAGGGUGCGAGCGUUAAUCGGAAUUACUGGGCGUAAAGGGUGCGCAGGCGGUUCUGCAAGUCAGGCGUGAAAGCCCCGGGCUUAACCUGGGAAUGGCGCUUGAAACUACAGGACUGGAGUAUGGCAGAGGGAGGUGGAAUUCCACGUGUAGCGGUGAAAUGCGUAGAGAUGUGGAGGAACACCGAUGGCGAAGGCAGCCUCCUGGGCCAACACUGACGCUCAUGCACGAAAGCGUGGGGAGCAAACAGG
rnacentral:rRNA from 1 species